AUUGAACGCUAGCGGCAUGCUUUACACAUGCAAGUCGAACGAGUGGCGGACGGGUGAGUAAUGUAUGGGAACGUGCCCAGUGGCGGGGGAUAACUACUGGAAAGAGUGGCUAAUACCGCAUACUAUCGGAGCGGCCGAUAUCGGAUUAGCUAGUUGGUGGGGUAAAGGCUCACCAAGGCAACGAUCCGUAGCUGGUUUGAGAGGAGGACCAGCCACACUGGGACUGAGACACGGCCCAGACUCCUACGGGAGGCAGCAGUGGGGAAUAUUGCACAAUGGGCGCAAGCCGGAUGCAGCCAUGCCGCGUGUAUGAAGAAGGCCUUAGGGUUGUAAAGUACUUUCAGUCGGGAGGCGUUACCGACAGAAGAAGCACCGGCUAACUCCGUGCCAGCAGCCGCGGUAAUAC
rnacentral:rRNA from 1 species